rnacentral:rRNA from 1 species
CACGGAGUUAGCCGGUGCUUCCUUUGCAGGUACCGUCAAUUCACUGCUGAUUAGCACAGUGACCAUUCUUCCCUGCUGACAGAGGUUUACGAUCCGAAGACCUUCAUCCCUCACGCGGCGUCGCUGCGUCAGGCUUUCGCCCAUUGCGCAAUAUUCCCCACUGCUGCCUCCCGUAGGAGUCUGGACCGUGUUCCAGUUCCAGUGUGACUGAUCAUCCUCUCAGACCAGUUAACCAUCGUCGCCUUGGUAGGCCUUUACCCCACCAACUAGCUAAUGGUACGCGGACUCAUCGGAAAGCAACAGCAUAUGCAGAGGCCGUCUUUCCCACAUACGUUUAUAUGUAGUGUAUCCGGUAUUAGCAACCGUUUCCAGCUGUUAUUCCGAACUUCCCGGUAGAUUAUCCACGCGUUACUCACCCGUGCGCCACUUUACUCAUACCCGAAGGUACUUUCACGUUCGACUUGCUAUGUGUAAGCACGCCGCCAGCGUUCAAUCUACG